AGUUGUCGGUCAGACUUGUCAGAACAGGCGAAUCAUCGCUCAUGGUCCAGGUCAGCGUGAGUGAACCCUGCAGAGGACGGAAGAAGUGAAGUUCGAUGGAGCUGUGGCUUUUUAUAUUAAAAGCGAUAGGACAGUGGACAGAGUCGAAAACCAGAGAGAGAGAGAGAGUGGGGAACGACAUGCGAGAAAGGAGCCGCAGGUCGGACUCAAACCCUGGGCUGGAUUUUGGGGGAAAAAACGUCUUUUAAUGUAAAAUAACAACGUGAAGCCAAAUAUUCCACUGUGUGAACAUUAUAACACAUAGUUAACUUUAAGUUAAAUUUUCAUUUGAUGUCGAUUAAUUUUUAUUCCUAUGUUUUUUUUUACCUUUAAGGCUAUAUAAGAAAUAAAGGGAUAUCCAUUGAUGUUUAAUGGUUACAAA